rnacentral:rRNA from 1 species
UGGGCCAUUAGCUCAGUUGGUUAGAGCGCCCGGCUCAUAACCGGUAGGUCUGGGGUUCGAGUCCNNNNNNNNNNNUGAAACCCUGCACUUACAAGCUGUGGAAGCACAUUUCUUGUGUGACCGCGUACUUUUUGUAGAACGGGCCAACGAGUUACGUUAAGUAGCAAGGUUAAGCACUUAAGGUGCGGAGCCGUAGCGAAAGCGAGUUUUAACUGAGCGUUCAGUUACUUGACGUAGACCCGAAACCGGGCGACCUACCCAUGAGCAGGAUGAAGCGAAAGUAAAAUUUCGUGGAGGUCCGAACCCACGAGCGUUGAAAAGCUCGGGGAUGACUUGUGGGUAGCGGUGAAAUUCCAAUCGAGCCCGGAGAUAGCUGGUUCUCCCCGAAAUAGCUUUAGGGCUAGCCUCAAGGUGAGAGAUACGGAGGUAGAGCACUGAAUGUCCUAGGGGGUAUUGCACCUACCGAAGACUAUCAAACUCCGAAUGCCGUCAUCUUAUACUUGGGAGUCAGACUGUGGGUGAUAAGAUUCAUAGUCGAAAGGGCAACAGCCCAGAUCGUCAGCUAAGGUCCCUAAAUGUAAGUUAAGUGGUAAAGGAUGUGGGAUUGCACAGACAACCAGGAUGUUGGCUUAGAAGCAGCCACUCAUUCAAAGAGUGCGUAAUAGCUCACUGGUCGAGUGAUCCUGCGCCGAAGAUUUCCGGGGCUAAAACUUACUACCGAAGCUACGGCAUCAGUAAUGAUGGGUAGGGGAGCUUCCCAUACGGGUUGAAGCAUGACCGUAAGGACAUGUGGACAGUAUGGGAGUGAGAAUGUUGGCAUGAGUAGCGAGAUGUGGGUGAGAAUCCCACAGGCCGUAAACCCAAGGUUUCCAGGGGAAGGUUCGUCCGCCCUGGGUUAGUCGGGACCUAAGCUGAGGCCGAAAGGCGUAGGUGAUGGACAACAGGUUGAUAUUCCUGUACUACCGAUAACCGUUUGAGAGAAGGGAUGACACAGUAGGAUAAGCUAAGCACACUGUUGGUUAUGUGUGCCCAAGCAUUGAGGCAGUCAAAGUAGGCAAAUCCGCUUUGAUAAUGCUGGGAUGUGAUGGGGAGCGAAAUUUAGUAGCGAAGUAGCUGAUUUCACACUGUCAAGAAAAGUCUCUAUCGAGGUUAAAGGUACCCGUACCGCAAACCGACACAGGUGGGUGAGGAGAGUAUCCUAAGGCCAGCGAGAGAACUGUUGUUAAGGAACUCGGCAAAAUGACCCCGUAACUUAGGGAUAAGGGGUGCCACCAUCAGGUGGCCGCAGAGAAUAGGCCCAAGCGACUGUUUACCAAAAACAUAGGUUUCUGCUAAGUCGCAAGACGAUGUAUAGGAGCUGACGCCUGCCCGGUGCUGGAAGGUUAAGGGGAUCUGUUAGAGCAAUCGAAGCAGUGAACUUAAGCCCCAGUAAACGGCGGCCGUAACUAUAACGGUCCUAAGGUAGCGAAAUUCCUUGUCGGGUAAGUUCCGACCCGCACGAAAGGCGUAACGAUUUGGGCACUGUCUCAACAACAGACUCGGUGAAAUUGUAAUUCCGGUGAAGAUGCCGGAUACCUGCGACAGGACGGAAAGACCCCAUGGAGCUUUACUGUAGCUUGACAUUGGGUCUUGGUACUACAUGUACAGGAUAGGUGGGAGGCUUUGAAACCAGGACGCCAGUUUUGGCGGAGCCAUCCUUGGGAUACCACCCUUGUAGUACUGGGACUCUAACCAUAGGCCAUGAAUCUGGUCUUGGGACACUGUCAGGUGGGCAGUUUGACUGGGGCGGUCGCCUCCCAAAAGGUAACGGAGGCGCUCAAAGGUUCUCUCAGUACGGUCGGAAAUCGUACGUAGAGUGUAAAGGCAAAAGAGAGCUUGAUUGCAAGACAUACAGGUCGAGCAAGGAUGAAAAUCGGACUUAGUGAUCCGGUGGUUCUGCGUGGAAGGGCCAUCGCUCAACGGAUAAAAGCUACCCUGGGGAUAACAGGCUUAUCUCCCCCAAGAGUCCACAUCGACGGGGAGGUUUGGCACCUCGAUGUCGGCUCAUCACAUCCUGGGGCUGUAGUAGGUCCCAAGGGUUGGGCUGUUCGCCCAUUAAAGUGGUACGCGAGCUGGGUUCAGAACGUCGUGAGACAGUUCGGUCCCUAUCCGUCGCAGGCGUAGGAAAUUUGAGAAGACCUGUCCUUAGUACGAGAGGACCGGGAUGGACGUACCUCUGGUGUACCAGUUGUCCUGCCAAGGGCAUGGCUGGGUAGCUAUGUACGGAAUGGAUAAGCGCUGAAAGCAUCUAAGCGCGAAGCCAACUUCAAGAUAAGAUUUCCCACCGCAAGGGUAAGACCCCAGAAAGACUAUCUGGUUGAUAGGUCGAAGGUGUAAGUGCAGCAAUGUAUUUAGCUUAUCGAUACUAAUAGGUCGAGGACUUGACCAA